ACUGCCUCUGAGUUGCCAGUGGCUUCAGUGAAUAUUGAACACCUUACUGUCAACUGCAGAAAGCUGAUUUAUGACUAUUAUUUACUCCUCAUUAGCACUGAUGUAACACAGCAGGGAAUCGAGAGCAGCAGCAGCUUCCUGGCCGUUAUCUGACGCUGCUGAUGGCCAUGUGUGUGCCGUGCUAUGGUGUUGUGUUUGUGCAGGACCUGAGAUCAGGGUGGGUAGCAGCUGGCAAAAAUGGGAAAAAAGGAAGAAAAGGGAAUCUAGCUUCACUUUAUUUAUCCCCUGGUGCAAGUAGUGUCAGAAACACUCAUACGGUGUAUCACAUCAAUUGAAAAAUAAGUAGGAAGUGAGACUGACAUAUCAGCUUUUAGUCUAAAAGAGUCUACAGCUAUAUUUGCAAAAGGAGCAGCUUUGUGUAUUACCAGUCACACAUGCUGUUUAAUUUUCCUUGUUUUCCUGCUGUGCAUCUUCCCUUUCUCUCAUAGGUGGAUGUCAAAGUGUCACUGGGAACCAAUGUUAAAUGCUCAGUACCUGUUUUAGAAUAGAAUCACAGAAUCAUUAAGUUUGAAAAAGACCUCCAAGACCAUUGAUGAUUGUAGACCUAGCAAAACAGUGCACCUGUCCAAGCCAUGACCAGCCAGGAGAAUGCUGUGGGAAGCCCUGUCCAAGUUUUCACUUGAAGUCCAGGGGAUACAGACAAGAAUUCACUCUGCACCUCACUGUAACAUUUCAGUGAUUCUCCAAAGUCAAGCACACCAAAGUGUGGUUAAAAUGGUAACAAGAGAGCUCAGGAUCACAUCGCAGUCAUUAGCAAAAGGAGUGUUGGGUUCAGGGACACCAGGACAUCAUGCUGCUGGGGUUAUUUGAAGAACUUGGCUCAUCCUCCUUUUUGCAAGCCAGAGCUCCAGGCUCCCAAAAACCCACCUCUGCUUCUCUACAGCUGGAAUUCAGGUGCCUUCCAAAGCCAUUCUAUCAGUCCCCUCCUCAGCUGGACAGGGAAGAAGAAAUAUAUCAAAAGCCUAAUGAGUUGAGAAGACGA